rnacentral:rRNA from 1 species
GAUUCCCUUAGUAACUGCGAGUGAAGUGGGAUGAGCUCAAAUUUGUAAUCUGGCAGUCCUUGGCUGUCCGAGUUGUAAUCUAGAGAAGUGCUACCUGUGCUGGACCAUGUAAAAGUCUCCUGGAAUGGAGCAUCACAGAGGGUGAGAAUCCCGUCUUUGACAUGGACUACCAGUGCUUCUAGGUGUGCUCUCAAAGAGUCGAGUUGUUUGGGAAUGCAGCUCAAAAUGGGUGGUAAAUGCCAUCUAAAGCUAAAUAUUGGCGAGAGACCGAUAGCGAACAAGUACCGUGAGGGAAAGAUGAAAAGAACUUUGGAAAGAGAGUUAAACAGUACGUGAAAUUGCUGAAAGGGAAACGCUUGAAGUCAGUCGCGUCGGGCAGAAAUCAACCUUUGCUUUUGCUUGGUGUACUUUCUGUCCGACGGGUCAGCAUCAGUUUCGGUCGCUGGACAAAGUUCUGGGGAAUGUGGCAUCUCAGGAUGUGUUAUAGCCCUUGGACAUAUACAGCGGCUGAGAUUGAGGAGCUCAGCAUGCCGUGAGGCUGGGGGACAAACCCACACAACGUGCUUAGGAUGCUGGCAUAAUGGCUUCAAUCGACCCGUCUUGAAACACGGACCAAGGAGUCUAACAUGCCUGCGAGUGUUUGGGUGGAAAACCCAUGCGCGUAAUGAAAGUGAUGGUUGAGAUCCCUGUCAUGGGGAGCAUCGACGCCCAGACCGGACCUUUUGCGAUGGAUCUGCGGUAGAGCAUGCAUGUUGGGACCCGAAAGAUGGUGAACUAUGCCUGAAUAGGGUGAAGCCAGAGGAAACUCUGGUGGAGGCUCGUAGCGAUUCUGACGUGCAAAUCGAUCGUCAAUUUGG